rnacentral:rRNA from 1 species
GGGGCGACCGAGCGCAGCACUAUACCCUUUGUGACAUACCUAACCGUUGCUUCGGCGGGCAGGGGAAGCCUCUCGCGGGCCUCCCCUCCCGGCGCCGGCCCCCACCACGGGGACGGGGCGCCCGCCGGAGGAAACCAAACUCUAUUUACACGACGUCUCUUCUGAGUGGCACAAGCAAAUAAUUAAAACUUUUAACAACGGAUCUCUUGGUUCUGGCAUCGAUGAAGAACGCAGCGAAAUGCGAUAAGUAAUGUGAAUUGCAGAAUUCAGUGAAUCAUCGAAUCUUUGAACGCACAUUGCGCUCGCCAGCAUUCUGGCGAGCAUGCCUGUUCGAGCGUCAUUUCAACCCUCAAGCACCGCUUGGUUUUGGGGCCCCACGGCACACGUGGGCCCUUAAAGGUAGUGGCGGACCCUCCCGGAGCCUCCUUUGCGUAGUAACUAACGUCUCGCACUGGGAUUCGGAGGGACUCUUGCCGUAAAACCCCCAAAUUUUUUACAGGUUGACCUCGGAUCAGGUAGGAAUACCCGCUGAACUUAAGCAUAUCUAAAGGGGAAGGAAAAAACCCAGAUAAGG